AUUACUUGGAAAAAUAAACAUUUUUCAGAUAUUCGUACACUUGGCACAUAUCCAGAAUGGCAGGUUUAUAUUCCAAGGAGUGCUGGAUUUAACGCAGAAAAUUCGUGAUUUAACCGAACGAACGAUACAUUAUAUUUGAAAAUAUGGUUCUCCAGAUCCACCACGACCGUUACGGACACAUGUAUUACACGUAUCCGGAACAUACUAAAAUACCCUUCGACUAUGGCAUUAAAGGACCCCAAUUAUUUUACGAGCCAAACCGCACGAGGUGGAUAUACCACUGCUAUUGGCCUCAGGAAGCGUUAAAUUUCGCUACGGUCGAAGAUAAAAGACGUCGGAUGGCCCUUCGCAACCGAAUGAGAGAUGCCACAUUCAUCAGAAGCAAAAAUUACUAGAACCAGCACUUACCACCGGACCACAGCCGAAGAUCGAAAGCAUUUUUUAUUUUACAUAAAUUAUUUAUGAUUAAUUAAAAUAAAUGUAUGUUUUUAAAUGGA